GGCGGCUGCAUGUUGUUGGUGGUCAGCCAUGAGAACUACUCUGACUCAUCUUGUAUCUAAAUUGUACCGGCGUAGGAGCAUCUGGCAUUUCUUUCGCCGUGUAUACAAUGCUGUACUUCGACAAGUACAGAGCCACAGCCACAGCCGCCAAGUACGUCGGCUUGGCUUCAUCGGGAAUGGUUGGGCCCCUGUUUUUUUCGGCCGCCGUAUCAAAUUACGGCUUAGGAGGAAGCUUCCUUAUCGGCGCAGCUAUAGCUAUGAAUGCCUUGCCACUAGAGAUUUUUCUUGGCAUCCCACGUCCAAUCGUAUUUAGGUUUCAGUGGUGCAAUAUGCGGAACAUGUCAGUGACCGAACACAAAACCAGAAAUCUUACGAAAGGAAGCUGCAAGGAUGAACGCGGAAUUCAGAAAGAUUCAAACAGCGCCAGGCCAGCUAAUACUGCGUCCCCAUGUGAAUCAAAUUUAAGUGUGCUGGCCCGAAAUGUAGAUCUUCCUGAGGAGUUCUGCGACAACAAAAUCACUAGUGACGGGAAGGCUUUCCAAGCACAACCUCUACUAGGCGCCAAAACCUCUACUCGCAAUAGCGAAUCUCAUAAAUGCGGUUCAACAUGUCUUGACCACGACGAGCGCGUUUCUACGGAACGCCGGCAGCUACCGUCUUGCAGUUGUUGCCUUCUGAGUCGAGUAAAAGCAUCUCGGAACAACUGUCUCUCUUCCGUCAGCUUGCCUUCUACGUACUGCUCGUCGUGUACGCCCUCUGCGAUUGGACAGUAUCGAUGCACACUACGAUCAUUGUGGACUACGGCCGUGACAAGGGAUCUCCGCUCGAGAAGGCAAAGUUAGUGCUCACCUACAACGCAGCGGGUCAGUUCGCCGGAAGGACGCUUUUGCCUUUCGCCUCGGACAACGUAGCUCACAGCCGGUGUCCAUUGGCUGUUGCCUGCUUCAUCGGAUCCGGCGCCUGCUUGGCGUUCAUGCCGUCCGUGCAGUCCCUAUCUGCCUUUGUCGCACUGAACCUGGUGCUAGGAGUGUGUCAGGGUUUUGCGACCUGUAUACGAAGCGUGAUGGUUAACGACUACUGUGGAGUCGAGCGGCUGCCUACGUUCUUCGGCACGCUUGGACUGACGCUGGUGCCGCUGUCAUCCAGCGGGCCUACAAUCAUAGGUUUCUUCCGCGACACCCUGGGAUCGUACGACAGCCUCUACUGGAUGAUGGGAGCGUUGAAUAUUUGCAUCGCGGCUCUGCUGUUCGUUCUUGUGUGGCGCGACAAGACGCGGAGAAAAUCGUGCGACCUACCUAGAGCAACAAUGGGACAUGGAAACG